AGAUGCAUAGAUAUACAGUAAUAAGGAAAUCUAACGUUCGACUGAUGGACUGAUAAUAACAUAUUACAAAACAAUGGGUGAAACAGACUGAGGAGUUUUACAGCACGUGACAGCAGGUGAAGUCGGUCCCUUGUUUACGAAGGGCCAUCCAUCUCCCUGGCUGACUCCGCCCCGCACGACCUUGGAGCGCUACGACCUGUGACAGCGACCACCCCUCCUCUGCCAAUGGUAAUCUUCGACGUCACGGACAGGCGGAGCCACGGGCGCGCCGCUCGCCCUUCGAUCGUUGUUCGUUUUUCCCCGACCUCACAACACGCGGCAACGCUUGCCGAAUUGAGAUGUCCUUACUCCGAUGGCUAGCACGAGCCCUUACCUCUCGUCUGCCGGCCUGGUGAAUUCACUCGCCACCGGUCCUGAAAGCCCAGGAAUGCAAGUCGCCACAUCGCAAUCCGCCUACGCUAGAGAGCCUCCAGAAAUGAAGUACAUGCCGCCCCAACACCAGAGUCAUAAUGGACACCAUGCACUGGCGCCCCAGCAUCACUGGGUGAGCCUGCCGCCCCAUAACGAUGCUUGGUCAGCCGCCAUGCCACCACCUGGCCUGCACGCCGCUCAAGAUGUGAAACCCCCUGAUUUGCAUAGUGUCCAUCACCGUCCACCCCAGCACAUGGCCGCCUCUCAUCCAUGGCAUCAUUCUUCCCUUGCAUCAUCUCAUAUGUCCGGCAUGGGGGGUCCGGGAGGAAAUAGUGCAUCUCCGCAUCAUCAUCUCCAACAUUAUGGCAUGAAUGGUAUGCUUGGAGGACAUGGUUCUCAAUUACACCCUGCUAUGAGGGAAAUGCAACAUUCUGAGCAUCCCCACCACCAUCAUCAUCACCAUCAUCCCCACGAUGAUCUGUCUCAUCCGAUGGAUCAUGGACAUAGACACCCAGAUGACUGUGGUCCCCUGGGGCCCGGUGAAGAAGCCCCAAGUUCGGACGAUUUAGAACAAUUCGCGAAACAAUUUAAACAAAGACGUAUUAAACUUGGUUUUACCCAAGCGGACGUCGGGCUGGCCCUGGGAACUUUGUACGGUAAUGUUUUUAGCCAGACAACUAUAUGCAGGUUUGAAGCUCUUCAACUAAGUUUCAAGAACAUGUGUAAGUUGAAGCCCCUAUUAGCAAAGUGGCUUGAAGAAGCAGACAGUACUACCGGUUCACCGACAUCCAUAGACAAAAUAGCCGCGCAGGGGCGCAAAAGAAAAAAGCGAACGAGUAUCGAGGUUUCAGUAAAAGGAGCGCUUGAGAACCACUUCCACAAGCAGCCUAAGCCAGCGGCUCAAGAAAUAGCCAGCCUGGCGGACAGUCUUCAGCUUGAGAAAGAGGUUGUCAGGGUUUGGUUUUGCAAUCGUCGACAGAAAGAGAAGCGUAUGACACCCCCUGUUAAUAUGGGUACCGGUCAAAUGCAAGGUGACGGUGGACUAAUGAUGGGUGGAAGCCCUCUACACGCGCACAGCCCCAGCAAUCUCAUGCAGUCACCCCCUCCGCCCCCACAUUCGAUGGCUGCGGCUCACUGACCCGUGGCCGGGGCCGCGGACUCCGUCCAUCACUACGCCGGCCCUUUAGGGUCGACGGACGAAGACCUUUUGCCUGACCGCGAGCCCCUGCCACCGCCAACACAGUUCUUCUUCUCUUUGCUGAGAGGUGCCGCCCUGGAGCCGCCCUCCUACAAAUGUACAUGAAUUUUAUUUUCUCAUCCUAACGAAUGAUGGACACCUAAAUUGAAUCGUCAUCUUUGAAUGAGGAAGAAAGAAAAGAAAACUUCAUUGUUUUUUUGUGCCAAUCUGUGGUUCCCUCUUUAUUUUGAAAUAAAUAAAAAGUAAGGAGGGGGGACAAAUGACCCCUGUGCCCCUCUUUCUACAUUCAUGAUGUUGAUCUUGAUUCGCAGCUACAACAUCCACCUGCUAAGGUCAGAAAUAAAAGUUCCUCUUCUAACUGGCCGACAACACUGCCAGAGCGUCUCCAGUAAAAGUACACGACCCAUUGAAAUCAUCCUACCAUUCCAUUUUUGUAUUUUUUAAUCAUUUUAUAAGAAAAAAAAAUCAUCAUCUUAUUGGCAAUAGGAAAAUCAAAACAAAAACAAAAAAAUUCUGGUUUUGUUUUUAAUUUCCAACAAAGAAAACUUUUUUUUAUUCAAAAAGCAGCAAAUAUUCAAGAAGGUAGUGACAUCUAAAUGACAUUUCUACACCUGUGGUGUUUUGUUACACUUAAAAUUAAAAUUGUAGCUUCAUGAGCUCAAUACUAAAGUGCAAUCUAGAAACUAUUUGAAGCAUUUGUUUAUUACAUAGACACCAAUGUGGGAAGUUGAGCUUUACACCACAUGUUGUUUUUUACAUUAUUUGAUUACAGUUUGUUAUUUAUGAAAUUUUAAAAUCUUUCAUAGAAAUGUGUUAUUGAAUUUGUUCACAAAAUGUUGUUUUGUGUUAGCUUUUACAUUAAAAUUUGACUUACUUGUUUUUAAGUUACCAAAAUAAACUUAUUCUCUCAUUUUUGUUGAAAUUACCCGAGGAGAACUGAAAAAAAAAAAAACAUGAAAUUUCUAAACCCAUACUUACAAGAAGUUUUCAUUUAGAGAAAUGUUGUCUAUCUUGUAAUGCUUAUCAGAAAUUAUAAAGCUUACGUUUAUGGUUUUACGUAUACUUUUACGUUCAUAUUUAUUUAACCUUUCGUUAAUAUUUAUUUUUAAUUAAAGUUUAAAGUAAAACAUGAAAUUAGUUGUUUUAUUUUGCCUAAAACUUAUCAGGAAGCAGGGGUGCGUAACCUGUUGCAAUUUAAGCCUCCCCCCGUUUUACAGCCAAAAACUAAAAAAAGCAAACAAUUUAAGUAUCGUAAGAAAUAGCAUAACUGUUUUUCAAAUUAACUUCAAUUAACUUGUAAAAUGUUGGAAAUUAUACCAUUAUUAGAAUCUUACAAACUCUCGAGUUUUUUUUAAAUAAAAUUUUCUUGAACCAAAUUAAAUUUUUUUUUUAAAAAAAAAAAAGGUCUUCAAAAAUUUGUUAAAGUUACAAAUGUAAGGAAUUUAUGAACAGUAGAAAAAUAUAUAGAAUUUAUUUUUCCGCAGAAAAAUUAAAAAACCUUCUAAUACUUAUCAUUCUUUAAAGAAAACUAAAUGAGUUAAACGUCAAAUAUUUUCAAAUUCAAAAUAUUAUGUUUAUACAUGGCCAAUGUAAUGUAAUUUGCUGUACUUUGCCUUUUAAAUUUUUUUCUAAAAAAAUUGAUAUUGUUCUUGAAUUACUAAUGUUUAUCACUGUACACAAUUGUUUAUAUUAUCAUGUUACUGUCAGUCAAUAUAAAAUUUAAAUAAAUUACAUUUCCAGAAUGGCUGUAUUUAUGGCUGUCUUUCAAGAAAAGGCUUUGCAUCCCCAGUAAUUUAUACGCAAUAUGAAAAUAUGGAAAAUGAAAAUAUAGGCAUUUUAAUGCUAUAAAACAACGCAUUUGAACUAAGAAACUGCUUAAUAAAUAAUAAAAUAUGAAUAAAAUAAAUAUAAUGUAAGGAAAUAUAAAAUAUAUAAGAAACAUAAUAGAGAAGACCAUAUUGAAUUUAUAUAUUAAACGAUAAUUCAAAUUUAAAUGAUAGUGGCGAAAUAGCGAUUAUUAAUCUUUCCAGCUGAGAAUACUAUUAUUUGUAAAGUAAAAAGCUUAAAAUCAGAAAUACAUAUUUAUCUAAGAGAAAAAAAAAUGUGAUAAUGAAACUCAUCUUUAUUGACCUAAUGUACGUUCAAAUUUUAACUUAGUAAUUGUUUUGGCAUUUCUUCAAUUUUUUCUUAAGUAAAAUGUUACGAAAAUCUAUCUUUUUAACCUUGUAUUAUAUUUUAAAAUUAUUAUCAUUAUUUAAAAUUUAUAAUUUUUUCCCGGUGUGAUCCUGUAAAAUCCUGAAAUCAGGAUUUUAAAGACAUUAUUUAAUAAGAAAAAAUCCAGUGAUAAUAAUCUGUAGAUUUGGAUGAUUUUUUUUUUUUUUUUUUUUUUAAAUUUUUUUNUUU